rnacentral:rRNA from 1 species
AGUGAACGCUGGCGGUAUGCCUAACACAUGCAAGUCGAGCGGCAGCACAGUAAGAUUUUGCUCUUACGGUUAGCGAGGGGCGGACGAGUGAGGAGUACAUCGCAAUCUACUUUUUCUUGGGUGAUAACGUAGGGAAACUUAUGCUAAUACCUCAUACUACGUACCGCUGAAAUCAGUGGUUCUUCGUAGCUUUCGCGAUUGAUUGAGCUGAUCUCGUGCCGGAUUAGCUAGUUGGUAAGGUAACGGCUCACCAAGGCGACGAUACGUAGCCGACCUGAGAGGAUGAUCAGCCACACUGGAACUGAGACACGGUCCAGACUCCUACGGGAGGCAGCAGUGGGGAAUCUUGGGCAAUGGGCGCAAGCCUGACCCAGCAAUGCCGCGUGGGUGAAGAAGGUCUUCGGGUUGUAAAGCCCUUUUGUUGGGAAAGAACAGCAGCAGGUUAAUCCCUGGAUGUUUUGACGGUACCCAAAGAAUAAGCAACGGCUAACUUCGUG